CAUGAAAAGCUUCUCGAAGCCUUGUGGGCUUAUAGAACCACAACACACACCACAAGAAUGACACCUUAUUCCUUAGUAUUUGGAGGAGAAGAUGUACUUCCUUUAGAGGUACAGAUCACGUCAUUGAGAGUCGCUACACAUGAAAAAAAUUAGGAAGAAAAAUCAAUAAAAUUAUGUCUCGAUGAAUUGGAUAGACUAGAAGGAAGGCAACUUCAAGCUUUGCAAAAUCUUGAGGCAUACCAAGCUAGGAUGUCAUGAGCAUUCAAAAAACGAAUCAAAAGAAGCUCGUUCAAACAAGGAAAUCUAGUACUUGUGGUCAUCCGUCCGAUGAAUAUCACGCAACGGAUGGAAGGAAAAUUUGAACCAAAAUGGGAUGGUCCCUUCGUCAUAAAAAAGGUUUAUUCUAGCGGCGCAUAUAGAAUCAUAUCACCGGAUGGGGAAUACCCGCUUGCACCGAUAAAUGGGAAAUUCGUAAGUGUUUCUAUGGAUAAAAAAAUUGUAAUCGAUCGCCUCACGAGUCUAAACAGGGGAACACAGAAAAUAAUUACUUCAACGACUUACGAGUAUAAACUGUGA
rnacentral:rRNA from 1 species